rnacentral:sRNA from 1 species
AAGACUAUACUUUCAGGGAUCAUUUCUAUAGUAUGUUUUUUAAUUAUUUUUGUUUAAUAUUUAAAUGCCCCUGUAAGAAGAGGAUAUUGCC